rnacentral:lncRNA from 1 species
UCUUUAUCCAUUUCUCUGUUGAUGGACAUUUAGGUUGUUUCCAUGUCUUGGCCACUGUAAACAGUGCUGCUAUGAACAGUGGGGUGCCCUUUGUAUUUUUUCGAGUUGUGGUUUUCUUGGGAUAUACGCCCAGGAGUGGGGUUGCUGAUUCAUGGGGUAAUUCUCUAAUUAGUUUUUAAAGAAACCUCCUUACUGUCCUCCACAGUGGUUGCACCAGCUUACAUUCCCACCCACAGUGUAGGAGGGCUCCCUUUUCUCCACACCCUCUCCAGCACUUACUGUUUGUAGGUUUUGUGAUCAAGGCCAGCCUGACUGGUAUGUGAUGCCUCAUUGUAGUUCUGAUCUUCAUUUCUCUAAUGAAUAGUGAUGUGAGCACUUUUCAUGGGGAUUUUUUUUUCCAUGUCUGUCUUCUUUGGAGAAAAGUCAGUUUAGAUCUUUUGCCUAUUUUUUUCUCUGUUUUUUCCCCCACGUCAUCUUCCUCCUCCAGCAACAUAGCAUGGUCACCUCCCAGCCUCAGUUCCAAGCCCUGUUGUAGACAUGGUUGCUGUUAGACCACUAAGUUUAGCAACCUGCUCCCUCCAGGAGCAAAACCACCCCUGACCCCAGAAGUGGACAGGUGGCCAGGUCAGAUUGGCCCAAGAAUGGGCAUGUGCUUCAAGCAUGGACAAGUCAAAGUCAUUCUCGGGCGGGAUGGCUGGACCCUGGUGUGAGAAAGCUGAGAGGAUGUCGCCCUGGGGCUGUUGGCAGCAAGCAGGCCCUACGACGGGGAGUCUACCUGCAGAAAAAAAAUGGAGACCGGCUGAAAUGAGAGGUGGGAGAGAGAGCAGGUGAGAAACCCAGUCUCAGAGGCUCUGGUUCCGGCAGCCCUUCCCCGGCUCUAAGCUCCCCUGGCCUCUAACCCUGAGUCUCCCCGCUAAGGUGAGCUGGGCAGAGGGGGUGCUCCUGCUGGCAAAGGGCUCUGCUGUCCCCAAAGGCCCUCCUUCGGAGACCUUGCCUGCUCUUACAUCUCCAGCCAAACCUCUAGGCAAACGGCUCCCCGUUUCUAUCCACCCUCCAUCUCUUCACAAGCCUGCACCCCACUGCCCACUCUCCGUGCUGGGCAUUUUUCCGGAUGUCACUGCCCCCCUCCGCUUCAGCAGGUGUAAAGCUCAUCAUUGCCAAGCUGAGAACCUUCUCCUCCAGGCUCUGUCUUGACCUGCAGGGUCUCAUCUCUCUCCCCCAACACCUGCCUCCCCUCUCUCCUUCCCGCCCCCACCUGCCACCAGGGUGAGGAGCUGCUGCAGCUCCUGCCUUCACUCCGUUUCCUAAGCUGCCCUUCUUUCGGCCACCACAUCAGUUAGGGGCGUAGCUUCCCGAUGUGGCCCCCAGACUCAAUCCUUCUGACCAGCCGUGACCAGAGGGGUAAGCCUGAGAUUCUGUCUGCUGAAUUGCGUCCAGGCUUCUUAGCGGGGCCCACAAAGCUGCCCUCAGGCCAUCGAGCCAGCUUCUGGCCACGCUUCUCACCUGCAAGACCCCUGCUCCCUAACCCCACGCGCACAGCCCCUGCUCCCACCGCUGCUCCUCUGCGGUCCAGCUCAGACACUGCUUUCCUCCAGGGAGCCUUCGCUCUCCCCCUCGGCAAAAGUGAACUCUCUCCUCUAAGGUCCCAGAUACCUUUUAGCCAAUCAAAUUACUUUAAACGAAGCUUUGUGGAUAUGGAGGAACGGCUGUGUGCCAGACUCUGGGGACUUUGCUAAGGAAAGUGGCCUCUGCUGGCACGGAGAUCUCAAUCCACUCACAAGAGACCAGGUCCCGAUGCAUUUAUACCGCCUUCUUGUGGGAGCAUGUUAGUCUUGGCCCCUUGGCCGCCUGCUUGGCAUUUCAGGAACAGGGCUCAUAAGACAGUUCCUGGUACCUUCUCCUAUAUGUAGUAAUUCCUCAAUAAAUAUUUAUUAGCUUGUAUAAGGCUGGGUCUUGGUUAGCAAACCCAUAAAGGAUAGAAGGUGUGAAACAAAUACUAUUCUUACAAUGAAGGUCCGGGCUUAAGACCAGUCUUUUCAAUCUGGUCAUUUUAACAGCUGUGUGUAAAGUUUACCAAAUUCUGCAAACCCAGUCACCGUCAUGAUACCACAAGCACCCUCUAGAGCAUAUGUGCUGUUAUUCCCCUCAUGACGGGGAGUAGAAGUCACAUCCUGCUUAGUUGCUCAUUUAGAACAGUGAGUUGCUACGAUAGAGUAACUUCAAGGGCCAUGGUUCAGGAUGGCAAUUCCAACUAGCCAGACAUAAACACGCUUCCAGUGUGGAAAUAGCUUAUUCGGAAAUUAUUUCCUGGCUUGAAAAUCUGUUUGCUAGAGGAAUUGGUGUAAAUAGGACAGAGCAUCUUUCACUAAAGGCAGCGAGUGAUUGGAUGGGUAAUGGGCUAAAAUUUUGGAGCAUUUGUGACCUACACUGUUUUAUAAAAUGGCAGCAAAUGAAUUUUCUGAAAAAGAAUGAAGCCUCCUGUGCAAACGCUUUUAAACCAGUUAUUUCACAUUUUUUUAUUCUUCAUCCGAGGAAUUCCACCUUAAUUAUCUUUUCUAUUAGCCUUGCCUUUUUAAUAGAGCUGUCUUUCUAUAAUGGAAUUUUUUUCCAUGUACAAAAUUUAGAGAGUUCAUCAAUUCAACUCAAUAAAGUACAUACACUUCAAGCCCACAUAAUUUUCUGAAAGAUACCUGUUUGAUGGACUGACUGUGACAUACCUACAUUUUACAUUAAAAAACAAUUUGCAUGGAACAAAAUUUAUUAAUAAAAACCAUUGUUAAGAUUUUUCAUAUCCAAUCCAAAAUGCUGACAGAAUAUCAUUCAAACCAGUAAGUAGGUGUUAUAGUCAUACAUCAUAUGAUUCAUAUAUAUAUACAUAUUUGGAAAGGACUCUUUGGGUUUUAUAUCCAAAGUCAAGCAGAGAACUCAGCAUCAGGUAAGCUAUGCAAGCAUUUAUUGAAUGAAUGGAAGUAUGUUCAUCCACCUAGCACAUAGGUCAGUGUGUGGGCAGGCCGCUCAAGAUGGCUAUUGUCUUGCUGUCUGUGUGUCUCCUGUUUCACCAGGCCCUGCUUCACUCACAUGACCAGCCAAUCCUCUUAAUUAUAGGGCUUAAUUCGUCCCUUACAAUUGGUGAGCCCACCUGACAUCAAUUCCCCCUAUAAAUGGUGGCCGGCUUCUCCCCCAUCCCCCAGUAACGAAGACUGUUGCCAGGUCCUGCCCGUCACACACGCACAAGGGGAGGUGUCAAUCCAGGACCCUUUGUGUAAGAGCCCCCCCAUCUGUUAAACCCUUGAUAUCUCUGUCUCCAGGCUCUUUCUUUGGUCUUGAGGCUGGGCAACCCAACUGGUGUAGCCCAACAGUCAAGUAUAAAGAGUUAUAGAAAUAGGGAAUUAAGGGAUGCUUACAUAAAAUGAUACCACGUAAAAACUUUUAAAAUCAUGUUAUAUUAAUAAGAACAUAUAUUUAAAAAUAUAUGUUAAGGACUGAAAUUUUAAAUACCUUUUUGUUACUAAAACAAUAUCCACAGCUUAUGAUUUAUUUAAUCAUAAAUACAUCAUAUGUAGAGGAUGUAUGAUGAAUAUUUACUCUUUUUCAAACUGAAAUCUGGCAGGUAGUUUCAUAAGCCUUAACAUUAUAAAGAGAGUGAUGUACUGAAAAUACUAAUCCCGUAUUAGUAAGGUUGAAACUGCAAGCUUUUUCUCUAAAAUUAUACUUUUCAGGAUACUGCUGCUAUGGGAUAACUUAUUUGGUAAAGUUUCUUGUAAACUAUUCUAGAAAGCUAAUAGAAGUAUUUUGAGUGACCAAGAUAACAGAUUUCAUUAUAUGGGCUCUUAACUACUUCAUUUUGGUUGAAAUGUUAGCUGCUGGACUAGUAUAUAAUUAUUUUCUCAAAAUGCAUAGUCAUGACUGUCAAUUUUUCCAUGACUAAUUAUACCCUGCCAGAUGUUUUUUAGGUUCUGCUAAGUCACAUUUUUCUCCUAGAACUCUGUGUUCCCACUCCAAUUUCCUCUGGCCUUUUUUCAUAUUUUGCCUUUUACCUGAAUUUUGAGUAAAAUGGUUUUCUUGCUCUCUUUACUAUGUCAUAUGAACAUAACAUUUUUAUAUGAAUUUGAAUUGCUCUCAAUCUCAUAUUCUAUCAUACAGCUGACUUUAUCCCUUUCCUGGAUAGAUUUUGUGCAAUUUAUCCUGAAAAGUUAUUCAGCCUUUUUAUGCAAGGAAAGCUAUUAACAGCUCAUGAGAUGACUGAAAAUCUUCUGAAUCACUUUACUAUCAAGUCUUUCAGGAAAACGCUAACAAGUUCCCAAGCUCCCGCAUUUGUUUUUUCUCUUCAGCCACAUUUCCUGAUGAGAUUGCGGGGCUGUAGCAAGAAGGAUCGCUAAUCAUGAAACGUCUGGAGCUUACGCUCAAGCGAUGCCUCGCAAUAAAUGCUGGAUUUGAAUUUUCUUCCCGGUUGAGCCUUAUGGAACAUUCACUGCCAGCCACUAGACAGAGACAUUUCAAUGACAAGUUUCGUCUCUUGAAUGCCAAUGAAAAUAUCUGGCUGCAUGAUGGUUUUAAAAAGUAUUCAUUGAUUCAAAAUGUAUUAAAAGCCCAUCAGGUGCUUGUAAUUGUGUGAGAAGUGUUUUUUAAAAAAGCAGAAAACCCAGUCCUUCCUCCUUUAAGGAGUUCGAGUGGGAAAGACAGAAAACGACACGCAGGUGAAAUCAAGUAGUCAAUGAGAGCAGGUCUGUGCGAUCGGGGUGGGGGGGGGUUACUAUAAAUCACAGAGGAAGCCCCGAAGCAGGGCCCCCGUCCCUUUCAGGCUCCUCGUCAACCACAUUUCAUCACUGGUUAUGCAAACGCAAGGCGACCUCCUCUGCACGUCUCCGUGCACGCGUGUUUGAAGGAGAAAACAUGAGGAUAUUUCUGCCGGAGAACAAACUGCAAAUAUUUUCUACCGCAGCUGCCGAGCAUGAUGGAGCACCUGCGGAUGAACACGUUAAUCCGGUGAGCCUGGGCUGCGGCGUCAGUCUUACUGCCUCGCAUAGGGAGAGAAAGCACCCUCUUGGAAGGACAGCUCUGGGGCAAAAAAUGACAUCUGCAUCAUGAGAUCCCACUGGGGCCAGCUGAGGGCAGGAGCCUCUGUGAAGGCAUGGCCGCCAGGUCCCCCCAAGUCCUCUGAUAUUUCAUAAGAUCUCAUGAAAAGCGGAUUGGUCAGAGAAGCUUGAUCAGCGCUACAGCUUAGGAACUUCGGCAACUUCGCAAUGUCUCCGAGAUGCAUCAUAACAGGAGGGAGCUCUGGUAACUGCUGAGCUUUACUGAAAGGGGUCGAAAAAUUGUUUUAACAAUCCAUUUGUUUUCUGG